rnacentral:snRNA from 1 species
GGGAUGCUUACUUUGACAGCCCAUAUGCUAACACUGGAACAAUACGGAGAAGAUUAGCAUGUCCCCUGUGCAAGGAUGACAAGCAAAUUUGUGAAGCGUUCCAUAUUUUU